CACCUGCAUUUUUUGAUAUCAUGAUGCAUUUGCCGGUUCACUUAGCUGAAGAGGCUAAACUAGGAGGUCCUGUCAGCUUUAGGUGGAUGUAUCCGGUCGAGAGAUAUUUACGUACUCUUAAAGGCUAUGUGAGUUACAAAGCAUAUCCUGAAGGCUCGAUAGCCGAGGGAUAUAUCUCUGAGGAGUGCUUGACGUUUUGCUCUCGUUUCUUACAGGACGUUGAUACCAAAUUGAAUCAAGCUAAUCGUCAUGAAAGUUCCGCUGUAAAUGAGCCACCAUCUGGGCUCAGCGUAUUUAGCGAUGUUGAUUUCAGCAAGAGAGGAUCUGUUUUGGAGGUAAUUGGUAGAGAAGAGUCAUUGAAGAUGAGGCACUACAUAGCAAGCAACUGUGACGAGGCCAGACAAUGGGUUGACGAACAUUUGGAGGAACUCAGGAAAGAUGGUAGCACUAGAAACCUUGAUAAACGACACAAGUAACAAUUUGUACACUGGUUUAAGGACAAAAUCACCAGGCAAAUUAAGGAAGGCAAAAUUAGUAACGUCUUAUUACAGGUACUUGCUAAAGGACCAGAUCCUCGAGCCCGUGUGUCCAAUAGAUGCUUUAUCAAUCGUUUCUUGUUCCGAACAGCUUCUACAGAGAAAAGGCUCAGCACAAGUAAUAGUGGCAUUUGUGUGAAGGGUGAUGGUAGCACCGGUAAUAUGACAUGGUAUGGAGUGCUUAAAAAAUAAUUGCUCUUGAGUUCGAGAUGGGAAAAAAAGUUAUUUUGUUUGCGUGUGACUGGUACGAUGUACCAGCUGCAACUACGAGCAAAGGAAAAGGAUUUAAGAAGGAUAAGUAUGGGAUUGUCGACAUCGAUAGAAGUCGGUAUCGAUAUUCUGGUGACCCCUACAUUUUGGCAACACAAGCUGAACUAGUUUUGUACGCUGACAUACCAGACAAGCCUCAUUGGUGUUCUGUUAUCGCAAUGAAGCCUAGAAAUUUGUUUGCCAUGCCAGAAUCAAGUACAAUAGAUGACAGUGACAUGGAUAUAUCUUUGUUCGAAGUGGGUGUGCAAGACAUGUGUGACGACGUACGCCAACAUAUGGAUGUGUCUAGUUGGAGGAGACCAGGAGUGGAAGGCUCUAGUGGACAUGCAAGUGCUAUUAGAUUUGCGAUUGCCCAAUGUGUUCCUGAACCAGAUCAAGCAACAAUUCUUGAUGCAGAGGACGACGACGAUGAUGAAACAUAAAUUGAUGAUGGAGUCAUUGCACCAGCUUCAAGUGUUGGUGAUCCCGAGGACGACUAUUUCUUUGUUUAAGAGUAUUAUAUGAGUACUUAUUUUGUUUGUGUAACCUGUUUGACCGCAUGUCUACAUAAUUAUAUAAAC